UACGUAGGUGGCGAGCGUUGUCCGGAUUUAUUGGGUUUAAAGGGUGCGUAGGCGGCCCUAUAAGUCAGUGGUGAAAUAUCGCAGCUUAACUGUGAGGGUGCCAUUGAUACUGUAGGGCUUGAGUGAAUUUGAGGUAGGCGGAAUUGACGGUGUAGCGGUGAAAUGCUUAGAUAUCGUCAAGAACACCGAUAGUGAAGACAGCUUACCAAGCUUCAACUGACGCUGAGGCACGAAAGCGUGGGGAGCAAACAGG
rnacentral:rRNA from 1 species